UACGAAGGGUGCAAGCGUUACUCGGAAUUACUGGGCGUAAAGCGCGUGUAGGCGGCUCGGAAAGUCGGGUGUGAAAGCCCUGGGCUCAACCCAGGAAGUGCAUUCGAAACUUCCGAGCUGGAGUCCCGGAGAGGAUGGCGGAAUUCUCGGUGUAGAGGUGAAAUUCGUAGAUAUCGAGAGGAACACCGGUGGCGAAGGCGGCCAUCUGGACGGUGACUGACGCUGAGACGCGAAAGCGUGGGGAGCAAACAGG
rnacentral:rRNA from 1 species